UACGAAGGGGGCUAGCGUUGCUCGGAAUCACUGGGCGUAAAGCGCACGUAGGCGGAUUGCUAAGUCAGGGGUGAAAUCCUGGAGCUCAACUCCAGAACUGCCUUUGAUACUGGCGAUCUUGAGUCCGGGAGAGGUGAGUGGAACUGCGAGUGUAGAGGUGAAAUUCGUAGAUAUUCGCAAGAACACCAGUGGCGAAGGCGGCUCACUGGCCCGGUACUGACGCUGAGGUGCGAAAGCGUGGGUAGCAAACGAGG
rnacentral:rRNA from 1 species